CAGUCGCCGCGGUAAUACGAGGGGGGCAAGCGUUGUUCGGAAUUAUUGGGCGUAAAGCGUGCGUAGGCGGCUUCUUAAGUCGGAUGUGAAAUCCCUGAGCUUAACUUAGGAAUUGCAUUCGAUACUGGGAAGCUAGAGUAUGGGAGAGGAUGGUAGAAUUCCAGGUGUAGCGGUGAAAUGCGUAGAGAUCUGGAGGAAUACCGAUGGCGAAGGCAGCCAUCUGGCCUAAUACUGACGCUGAGGUACGAAAGCAUGGGGAGCAAACAGGAUUAGAUACCCCUGUAGUCCCUGUCUCUUAUAC
rnacentral:rRNA from 1 species